rnacentral:rRNA from 1 species
GACGAACGCUGGCGGCGCGCUUAACACAUGCAAGUCGAGCGAGAACCGGGGCUUCGGCCCCGGGGACAGCGGCGAACGGGUGAGUAACACGUGAGUAACCUGCCCUCGGCACCGGAAUAGCCCGGGGAAACCCGGAUUAAUGCCGGAUGGCCCCUCUGGCCUGCGGGGCGGCGGGAAAAGGGAGCUUCGGCCUCCGGCCGAGGAUGGGCUCGCGGCGGAUUAGCUUGUUGGCGGGGUAACGGCCCACCAAGGCGACGAUCCGUAGCUGGUCUGAGAGGACGAUCAGCCACACUGGGACUGAGACACGGCCCAGACUCCUACGGGAGGCAGCAGUGGGGAAUCUUGCGCAAUGGGCGAAAGCCUGACGCAGCGACGCCGCGUGCGGGAAGAAGGCCCUCGGGUUGUAAACCGCUUUCAGGAGGGACGAAGCCACUCGGGUGAACAGCCCAGAGGGUGACGGUACCUCCAGAAGAAGCCCCGGCUAACUACGUGCCAGCCGCCGCGGUAA